rnacentral:rRNA from 1 species
UACGAGUGCCCCAAGCGUUAUCCGGAAUUAUUGGGCGUAAAGGGUGUGUAGGUGGCUUUGUUAGUCUUUGUGAAUGCUUCCCGGCUUAACCGGGGAAACGCAGGGGAAACGGCAAAGCUAGAGGAUGCGAGAGGUGAAUGGAACUCAUGGUGUAGGGGUGAAAUCCGUUGAUAUCAUGGGGAACACCAAAAGCGAAGGCAAUUCACUGGCGCACUCCUGACACUGAAACACGAAAGCGUGGGUAGCGAAUGGG